UACUUCCUUGUCUUGGGGAGCAGAAAUGUCCAAUGAACGUAUAGUGAGGGCAUUGCUGCUGACACCAAUUACUAUAUUCCCGUCUGCCACACCACUCGCUGUGGUUGGUUUUCGGAAUUUUUGGCCAA
rnacentral:ncRNA from 1 species